rnacentral:lncRNA from 1 species
UCUGACAAAUUACCUAAAGAUGAUGGGAUAGGACCUAUUAAACAGUUAUGGGAGAGAUUUAGGACAAUAAGUAAAUGAAGCUCACCAAGUAUUUUUGGAAUUUCUCCCCUGAAUUGGUUACUAGAAAGGUCAAUAACCGUCCAAAUGGAUAAUAGUGAUUCAAACUUUAUUUCCAGCCCUCUUGCUAUAACAGAUAAACCAUCAGCAUAAUUCACCAAAAAUUCACUAAGUGCUUCUCUCAUGUAAUGUGGAUCAACUUUCUUUCCAUAUUCAUCUCUAAUGGCAUGCAUAUUCUCAAAAAAGGGUAGGUAAGUAGCCACUAAAAUUAUUGUGAGAAAGAUCAAUGAUUUGCAAUUUAAUUAGUUAAAGAAACUAUAAUAUCAAAGCUCUCUAUUUGGCCGUAAAAUCUAUUCGACCUCAAGGUAAGAACUUGCAGCUGAUCCAAAUUUCCUAACCAACUUGGGAAAGUGUCAUUCAAAUUGUUGUUUCCAACAUUGAGAAGAUUUAAACCUUUGCAAUUACCCAAAGAUCGUGGUAGUGACCCUUCUAAUUUAUUGUUGUCGAUGCGUAAACUUCUCAACAUGCAACCUUUAGCAAAAUUUUCUGGUAUUUGACCAUGAAAAUUAUUAUUCCCUAGAUGAACUGCUAUGAGAGAAGAACUCAAGUUUCCGAUGCACUUUGGAAUUGUUCCCUCCAAAUUAUUCUCAUCUAAAAGCAUAACCAUAAGGGAAGUCAAACUGCAUAUUGAAGAAGGGAUUUCUCCAAUUAAGUUAUUAGUUGAAACUCCAUACCAUUGCAAUAAAGGUGGUGGUGUUGGAAUUCGACCUUAGAGAUAAAAUUGAAAAUGAGAUAGAAUUAGGAGUUUGAAGAUUCUUUGGAAUAUAAAUUAUAAAAUAGCUAUAUUUAUGAUGUAUUACAUGCAUGAUUAAUUUACUACACUACUUCUAACCAUUUUUAGAUGCAUCACAACAACUUUUAAGUUGUAAUCUAUUGAAGGAAACUACUACUAUCUUCUAGAGAAAUUUUCAUUUCCCUUACUUAAAAGUAAAAUGGGAUUGCAUAAAUGUAUAAAAAAUAGAGGGAAAAAAAAUCAAACUAUACCUAAUAGUUUAUUAUAAAAGAGAUAACCAUUUAAUAUCUUACUUAUAUUUCAUUUUUUAGUGUUUAUUAUUGUUUUUGGUACAUUUAUGUAUAUUUUAUAAUUUAUUAUUGGGUUUCACGAUUGUUAUUGUCAAGAAUAUCAUCUCUAAGACUUGAAUCUUGUUCUCCCAUUAAGAGAGUAAUAUGCCUUACCACUGCACCGAAUAUUUAUUGGUGUAGUAUUUAUUAUAACUACAAAUAAUUUUAAUUAUCUGUUUAUGAAACUCUAAGUUAGAGGUCAAAUAAAAAAGAAAUUUAAUUAAUAUAGUGUUUAACUUUUUAUCAUCUUAAUUAUUAGUUAUAAAAUUUUUUCCUCACAAUUGAAAUUUAAAAAUGAGAUUUUAUGAAAUUUAAAGAUAACAUAAUUAAUAGAAAAUUGGCAUUUUCUUUAGAGUCGGAAUUUAAGUAGUAGCAAUAUCUGUAACUGGUACUUCAAAUGUACAUUUUAUGUUUAUAAUUUUUAUAAUAUUAGGAGUUAAUUAACAUUGUAGCCUCAAAAUUGGUGUUAUGAAAGCCAUUUUUUUAUGAGAAUACUUUUCUAUUUAACAAUGAUUGUCCAGCAUGUUAUAAUUGAAACCUAUCAUGGUAUUCACUAUUACUGACUCUGAACUCGAGUAGGUUCAAGUUAUUGACCCACAACCCAAGUAGACUCAAAUGAAUUCGGGUCGGGCCCCACAAAGUGGGCACGUUAGAGUUCGCACAUCCAAUUUGUUGGUAUGCUAGAGCUCACGAGCCUAGCUCACAAGACAAGCUUGCACAUUGAGUUCACAUAUCUCUAUAUGCUUGCGAGGAGAGGUGUUAGGUCAAGCACGUGGUCCAUGAACACGUGUUAAGUCUAGAACAAGAUAUGUGUUAGCAUGCAUGAAGCCUAUCUAAGACGUCAUUUUAGUGAAUAGUAACUGUAUCAUAUAAAUACUAAGUCUUACCCCCAUAGUAGACACAAAGAGAAAAUACUCAACAAUUUGGUGCAAUGAGUGUGGUCAAACUUUUGAUCGAUAGAUUUUCAACUUGUAACAAUCAAAAUGGUGCACCGAAAUUAAAAUUUCCCCAUCAAUUUUUUGUCAAGAUAAGUUGGAGCUCUAGUGCAAACAAUCAACCUAAUAAGACAAAUUUAAUUGCCUAGUGGUUUGCUAACCGGUCGAAAAAUUUGGGUAACAUGGCUCAUGUAAGAGCUUCAAAUUUUUGACUUAAAAUUUCCUUCUGGCCAGAUAUUGUCAUUCUCCUCUGGUUAGGAAACGUCACCAAAGUAGUUUCUUGCUAUUCAGGAGUUGAUAAAGAUAAUGAAGAAACAAAUGACCCUGUAAAACGUUAGAUUCGAACAACAAUAAAUUUUUUAGCAAGAGUUGUUAAAUCAAAAUGAGGAGUUCAGAAGGAAGCUGCAGUUUGAUAAUUUUGAUUUUCAUAACAAUGCCACCAUGUGAGAAGAAGGUUUUGGCAUGCAUGCAAAAUCGUGGCAGAGUGAGAUGGAUGCUUUCAAAGAGAUGUAAGGGCUUUACAUCUUGAAUCUCUAGAUAUUGAUUGACACAUUUAUUCCAAUAAUCCAUUGGCUCUUAAGGUGGAACCAUGAUCUUGCCAACUACUUUUAAGGUUUCAAAGGAUAUGUUUGAAGGAAGAAGGGACCUACGAGUGUAUCCCAUGCAGUAUAACAAUUAUUUGAAUGUGCUGGGAGCUUUUGAUUUCGUGAAGUGCAAGGUUUUUUUUGAAAACACUGAAGGGGGUGUGAAAGAUUGAUACUUAUCUCCUCACCAGGGUUUCAUUUGUAGUUUCUCUCAGUUGGGUUAGAUGUUCUUGGGACGAUUCAGGGCAGAUAGGACAAUUAUUAGCACUUCUAUGGGUCUGAUGUCUGUGAACCAAAGAGAGGGAGAAACUUUGUAGGAUUAUGUAAAGCAUUUCCAAGUAAUGACACUAAAUACUAAGAACCUCAAAAAUCAAUGGGCCAUUAAUACUUUAAUCAUGGGUGUAAAGAAUGAGCAUAUGCAGUAUUCUUUCACUGACAAUAGGCCUCAGAGUUUGGCAAAUUUAUAUGAGAGGGACCACAAGUUCGUAGAGGCAGAAGAAAUAAAAAGAGCAGCUUGUGGGACAUUCUAAAGAGAUGAGUGGAAUUUUAGAAACAUGGAUAGAGCUCGCAGUCGACAGGGUCUACUUCCUCAGGCUUUGCGUGUACAAAAUAAGGGACAACAAAAAGGGCAAUUGUAGAGCAAGACUGUUAAAACAUUCCAAAGAUCCAAACUUGAACACACAUGGAGGUAUGUUCCUCAAAGCAAAUUCAAAUCUUAUACCCCAUUGAAUGUUAUUCUUACCUAUAUUUUGAAUUAGGUGAAGAGUCUAGGUAUUUUACUGAGCCUUCCACCUUUGUGGCAUAGUGUUAGGAGGUUACGUUCGAGGGACAGAUGUGCUUUCCACAAUGACGGGGGGCAUAAGACUGAUGAUUGCUUUUCUUUGAAGGUUGCUAUCGGGGAAGUAGUCAAAAAUGGCAAACAUGGGGAUUUUGUGGCUCAAAAUACUACUUAGCAGAGGUAGAGUUUGCGUGCUGAGGUGAAGGUAAGUAAUCUUAUAUUGUUUCUAUUAUUAUACAAAAUAUAAAGUCACAAAAGUGAGAGAAAACUCAGUCAUCAGUGCACCAAAACUCGUUAAGUUGAUCAUAGUUGCUAGUAUUAUAAUGUAUCUUCUUACAUAGAGAGAUAAGGUAGGUGUAGAGGCAGACAAAAGACGGUGAAAUUGGAUGGGACAUUAAGAGGGAAGAGAGGGAACAAUGUCAUGUGCCUAACUAUUUCUAGUGUUUGAACCGUUUUGAGUCAUAUCUUUCUUUGAACUCAUACCGUCCUAAGCCUUAGAACAUUACAAGCUUAGAAGACCAAUGUGACUUAAGUGUUCUCUAAGCAUAAUAUUUUGAAAUUGCUAACAAUUAUACUUAAUGAAUAUUUGUUGAUUCAAAUGAUUGUGUCUACUAUAUAUCUAUUUGAUUUAUGUUAACGGUGAUAUUGUUAAACAUUUGGUCAUGGAAAUUACUUCUAGUUUGUUAGUAAUGUAAAUUUGUAAACUAGUUCCUAUUUACUUUAAAAAGUUUCCAAGACAUUAAACUAUCAAGAUUAAGUUACAUGUAUGAUAAGAAUUGUUAUAUCUUUAAUAGUUGACAACAAUGUUCGUAGUAGUAAUAAAAUCCAAGUGACGUCUUCUUAUUGCAUGCUAUGUGUCUAGACUUGGUUUAUUUGAGGACAAACAAAAAGUUAAGUGUGGGGGCGUUUAUGUUUGAGGUUCUCAUUUACAUCCAUCUUCAUUAUCUUAAGCUUGUUUAAAGAAAGGAACCCAGUUAAAUUUUUUUUAUUUUGCCCUUUUUUACGGCUAAAAUUUUCUUUAUGUUUUUAUGUUUAUUUUUCCCAUUCUUUUUUUCUUUGUUUAUUUUAAUUAUAUGUUUACAUUGCUUGGGAUCAAGCAAUGACUUAAGUGUGGGGGAGUAAUUUGAUAUACCGUAAUUCGAUGUAGUAGAUUAAACUAGUUUUCCUACUUAAAGAGCUUAGAUAUGAGCAUUUUAGUUAUGCUUUAGUUAGUUUUUGUAUUUUAGUUUUAAUUCAAUAAAAAGUGUAAAUUGUGUCUUUUUAUGAUCUUAGGGGCCGAAUGGGGCCUAAAGGUAGGCUAACAUGCUUAGUAAGUGUGCAGGACACCAUUCAAAGGCAUAGGAACUCGAGGUUGGUCGCCAUGUUGCGACAUGGGAAUUCAAUCUUGCAACAUAGAGGAUAUUCCAAGAUUGUCUUUAAUGUCGCGACAUAGACAAUGGAUGUCGCAACACACCCCUGAAGCUGAAUAUAGGAAUCAAGUAUACUACCUUCAAUGUUGUGACAUAGGUAGCGGGUGUUACAACACCAACUCUGCAUAGGAAAUAAUUACGAGCUGGGGGCAUUUUGGUCCACACAAUGAAAAUUAACACAAAAAAAUCAACCAACCUAGGUUUAAGGACGACGACCACCCCUUACUCUAUAAAUAGACUUAUUAGACACAUGUUUAAAAAACAAUUUUAGGGAGACAAAAAUUAUUAUUAGGUUUUUAUUCUGUUAUAAGUUUUUACUUAGUUAUUUGCUGUUCUUGUAAUCGAAAGGUCCUAUUCCGAAGUGAGAUUCUCAUGAGGGGAGAUUGUUCCGAAGACACUUUCUUAAUAAAAUACUUUUAGUGAAAUUAGAAGUCUUACUUAUAAAUGGUAAUUUUUAUUAAUAAUAAAAAAUAUUUAUCUUUGUGCCAAAAAAACACCGCAUAGAUCAUAAAAAGGAAAAACUAAAACAUCCAAAAAAAAAUGUCAAACACUAAACACAAAAUUCAUAGUUGUAGAGGAGGAUUAGAUACAUUGGUCCCAUAAUAUGUCACUCAAAAUCUUAAAAUCAUCCAACAAAAAGAAAUCAUCACUUCAAUUAAUUAAAGCAAGAACAAAGAAAGUUAUGGAUGAACAAAUAUGGGAAGUAAAGAAAAAUGAUGGAUCAAAAGGGACGAAUACGCUAAUUUCUGCCAUCAGGUAGAUGGUGAACUUAGGUGUGGAGUUCUAAUAAAUACCUAAACAUACCUAAACUUUUAUUUUAUGAUGAAAUGAUUGGUUAAAUUACUUUAUAACAUCUUACAUUUUAUAAAUGCAUAAUAAUGACACUAGGUUUUAAUCUCUUAAGGUAACUUUUAUCUUAUUUACUUAGAAAGAUUGCAUAAAUUUAAUAACAAAAAGAAGAAUAAAAGAAACAUGAAAUUAUACCUGUCAAUUUGUUAUUGCUAAGACCAAGAAUUCGAAGAGAAGUCAAGUUUCAAAUAAUAAGAGGAAUUUCACCUGAAACAUAUAAUUAAAUCAGUAAAAGUUUCCAAUAAUAAGAGCAAAACCUUAAUUUAUUUGUUGAGCAUAUUAGUGUCUAUUUGAUUUACCUAUUAGUAAGUUUUGGUUUUCCUAUUUUUAAUCAUUCUUCAAUAUGUUGAAAAUUUUCAUUCCAAGGAUGUAGGCACAACAUCCCUUGAUUAUAAUGUAAAAUUUCCAAUUUCCAUAGGGAUACUUUCAUCCAAAGAGUUGUUAUAGAAUGAUAAAAAUGUCAACUCUUUACACUUGAUUAAACUAUUUGGGAUUCUACCCGAAAUCUUAUUGCCUCUCAACUUUAAGGCUUGCAAUUUAGAUAGGUUAUCAAAUAUUUCUAACGGUAGAUGGCCUACAACGAUAAUAUUGUUACCUAGUUUUGACAUUUCUAGUUUUGAGAAAUUGCUUAGGGUAUAUAGGGAUAAUACCACUGAAGUUGUUACUAUACAAAUACAAGCUUUUAAAUUUCAGAAAUUAUUGUUACCAAAGUUGAAAUAUUCUAACCGAUGCAAACUAGUGUACUCAAUGGGUAAACAAACAUAGAAACUAUUGUUACAAAUGUUGAGUUUGGCAAGGAAAGAAGAUUUCCAGUUGAGAUGGUAUGGUGUUUGUGAAAUCCAUACCUAAUGCAUCAAGAGUUGUGAUGUUUGAAUUUAUAAGUUACCUCAAUUUAAUGGCAAACAUAAGUAAAAGUAAUCUAUGAGGUCUUAGUGCUACAAGGUUGAUUUGAUUAACGGUGAAAUUAGGUAGGGGGUAAGGCUAUUCUGAGAGGAGGGAAAUAAUUGAGUGUAAUAUAAUGUUCAAAAUUCUACAAAUACUUUGAUUCUAUGGAUUAAGGCAUAGAACUUGACCAUUUGAGUAAGAAAUAGCCACAUUUAUUGGGCUACAACCCCAAAACCUUCACAUACCCACAACUAAUGUUCAAUAUUCUAUAUAUCAGUAAAUAUAUAAUUAUUUUUCUUAAUUAUUUUAAGAGUUUAAUAAGGCAAAUCCAAAAGGUAGAAGAAAUAGCUAAUUAGAAGUAGUGUGUGAUUCAAAAGGGUAUAAAGUAGGUCCAAAUUAAAAAUCAAAAUUUAAAAUACUUUAGUGUAAAAUUUAAGUCUUUUCUUAUCACUAAAUAAAUUUAGUUUUAGAGAAAUUAGAAGUUUUAAUAAAAUACUUGAAAUAACUAAUUGCUUAUGACAAGGUGAAAAUUUGAUGAAAAAACAUAUAAUUAAUAAUUUAUAUAUCUAUUUCUCUCAUACUAUGGACUAUGGUCGAGCAAAAAUUAAUAAAAAAAUAAAUAAAUGGAUAGAAAUAGCUUAGUUACAAGAUUGAUGUUAAUUCAAUAAUUUUUUAAUAAAAACACACAUUGUUUCCAAAAGGGUAAGAAAUAGGUCCAAAUUAUAAUUCAGAACAUAAAUUAAUUUAAUGUAAAAUUUAAAUAAAAUUUAAAAUUUUUUGUUAUUAUCAAAUAAAUUUUCUUAAUAAAAUACUUUUAGUGAAAUGAGAAGUCUUACUUAUAAAUGGUAAUUUUUAUUAACAAUAAAAAAAAUAUUUAUCUUUGUGCCAGAAAAAAACACCGUAUAGAUCAUAAAAAGAAAAAACUAAAACAUCCACAAAAAAUAUGUCAAACACUAAACACAAAAUUCAUAGUUGUAGAGGAGGAUUAGAUACAUUGGUCCCAUAAUGAAAAAAUCAUCACUUGUGUUAAUUAAAGCAAGAAUAAAUGAAGUUAUGGAUGAACAAAUAUGGAAACCAAAUUAGAAAAAUGAUGGAUCAAAAGGGAUGAGUAAACUAAUCAAUCAUUUUUAUUAGUUUUCAAGUUGAGGCUUAUAUAUAUAUAUAUGCAGAGUUAGAAAUACUACAAAAGGUUGACAUUUUUUAAAAGUAUGAUAAUUUGAAUAGAAGUAACAUAUGUUAAUGUGGAGUAAUUGUUCCAUAUAAUCCUUUUUAUGAUGAAAUGAUUGCUUAAUUUACUUCAUAAGAUCUUACAUUUUCUAACUGCAUAAUAAUGACUGUAAGGUUUUAAUCUUUUAAGGUAAAUUUUAUUUUAUUUACUUAAAAAUAUUGUAUAAAUUUAAUAACAAAAAGGAGAAUAAAAGAAAUAUGAAAUUAUACCUGUCAAUUUGUUAGUGAAAAGAUAAAACUCUCGAAUAGAAGUCAAGUUUCUAAUAACAAGAGGAAUUUCACCUGAAAUGUAUAAUUAAAUCAGUAAAUAUUUGUAAAUAUUUUCCUAGCAAACCCUUAAUUUAUUUGUUGAGCAUAUUAGUGUCUGUUGAUUUACCUAUUUUUAAAUAUGCAAGUUUUGUUUAGUUUUAUAGUACUUAUGACAACCCAAAAUUAUUUUAAUUUUAAUACUUGAAUUUAUAGUUGAAAUGAAGAUGACAAUUAGAAGGAAUUGAUUAGUAAUAUAUAGCACCUGGUGGAGGAGGGAAAAUACCAAAAUGAGCUUUAUAAAAUGCAGUGUUUCGGGAAUAUAGAAAGUUGAAGCUACAAGUCUUAUCUCCCUGAAGUUGCAGUGGAGCAGACCAAAUAUAACAGAUUUUGUUCUUUGAGAAACUACAAAUUACAAAUCCUAUCUCCCGGACGUUGCGGUGGAAUGGAUCGAAGCAAUUCCUAUACCUCUGAAGAUGCAGCAGGAUGGAAUGAGAUUACUGGAAGAGAAGAGCACCAAGACCCAGCACGACCGGACAAAAUUGGUCAUUUUAAAGUCUUUGCUCUGUUCCCGUUGCACGACAACGAGCAAAGAGGGGUAGUUGUAAUACCCAAUUUGCCCGACCCAAUAAAAAUAAAAACAAAAUUUAUUAAAGUCCAUUUACAUUGGCCCAAUAGCUUAAAAACCAAAUAAAAUAACAGUCCAAAAACAACCCAAUCACGAGGGCCCCAGUUACCAGCCCAAUUCGGCCCACUAGCCUAAACACCUAAUGGCCCAACGCAGCCCAAAUCUCAACCUAAUUGCAGAAACCCUAGUGGCGAGCAAGCCCCAGCGCCGCAUCAGCCCCAACUCCUCCGCGCGUGCCAAGCCUCUGCCCACACGCAUGCGCCUUUGCCUCCGUAAAUGCCACGCCCCCAGCCUUGCACUCCGUACCUGCAAGAGACGAACAAACGAGCAGUAAAAACAGACAAUAACGGCAAAAAAGGAGCAGCGAUGAGGGAUUGACAGCAAAAAUUAGCAGUAAAUAGAAAAUGUAAAAAAUUUUAAAAUUUCUUUGUCUCUAUUCAGCUAUAAAAAGUUCCGAUUGAAAUUUGUAAGACUUACGCAAUCAAAAAUACAAAAAAAAAUCACAAUACCACAAGGUGAUUCCUUUUUUUUCUUUCGCAAAUUGUUUCUUUUGUUUCUUUCAUUUUUACAUCUAUUGAUGGCUUGUGGAAGUAGUAAAAGAGAAAGGGCGUACCUCGUGACCGGAUCUGUUGCUCUUUCUCCGUUGUCAUCGGAGUUUGGGGCAUGGUCCGGAGAGUCUCUGAAGGAGGCGAUAAACGUUGAGCGGCGCCGAGAGAGAGAGCUUAAGUUUUUUUAAAUGAGAUAAAAGUGUUAGGUUAGGUUUUUUUUUUGUUUUAGUCUUAAUCACCGGAUUUAAAACGGUGCCGUUUGAUGACCAAACCCGAGCGGUGACCCGACCCGGGAAGGAUCCGCGCACUAUGGGUCGUUUGGUUUAUUUAUUCAAUAGGUCCAUAUGUGUUUAUUGAGAUUGCGAUUUGAUUUCCUUUAGUUGUUUGUAAUUUGUACCGCAUAUUUGAUUCUGUACUCACUUAGAUCCAAACUUAAACUGUGCUGUUUUCUAUGUUAUUUUGAUUAUUUUAAAUUUUUGCGCUAAAUUGCUAUAACAGUCCCUAUGAUUUCUAAUGAUUUUCAAUGCGGAUGUUGGCUCAUUUAUUUCAAAUUAACUCUUAAAAUUUUGUUUGAUUUCAAAAUAGAUCCACUUUCAUUAAACUAAUUGGUUUAUUAUCAUUAAUUUCAUUUGUUGUUAUUAUUUUAAUAGUAUAUAUAUAUAUAUUAGUUAACCUAAUUUUUCUAUAAAUUCAUAAUAUUUCAUAUUUUCAUAUAUAUGUAUAUAUAGCAUGUGUUUUAGUAUACGUAUGUAUAUAUAUAAUAAUCUAUUAUUAAUUUCAAAUGAUAUUUUUAUGCAUAAAAACCUUAUUCCUUUUAAAUUUGUUAUCUUAUUUUAGUUAUUUAACUUUUAUAUAUUAUUACUGUAUAUACUUUUUUUAUUAAGUUUUAUUUAUAUAAAUCCAAAUGUAAACAUUAAUGUUAAGCUAUUCACUUUUAUUUUAUUUCAUGUUUUUCUAUAUUUUUCUCUUUUUUAAAAUUUAUGCAAACCUUUUAUUUGUUUUUUUUUUAACUCAGCAACUAAUGUUCAAUAUUCUAUAAAUACAAAAAAAACUCUAAUCUUCUUUUACAAGUAAAAGACGGUGAUAGUCUCCAAGAGAAAGAGACAAGUAAGGAGGGUGUAGGCAAACAAUACAUUCAUUACAUAUUUAUUUUUGCAUGUCUCAUUUUAUUUACUGUCACUACACAUUUUAUAUAUAUAUAAAUUAUUAAAUAUUAAAUUUUAUAUAUAAAAAAAAUCCACAUCUUACUUAUUUUAUUAAUACAUAAACAGUAAAUCGUUUAGAUGAUUUCAAGUUAAAAAAUAUAUAUUUUAAAUUUUAUGUGGAUUCUUUUAAGUUCAAUAUUCAAAUUAUUGCUCUCUUUUUACUUGUACCAAUAUUUCCUAUAUUUUUCUUAUGUUAAAAUAGUCAAACUAUUAAAUAUAUAAUUAAUUGGAGAGAAGUCAAAAGCUAAUUAAUAAUAUAUAGGGAUUGCAUAAAUGUAACAACAAAAAGAAAAAAAUGAUAUUAUACCUGAUAAGUUAUUAUAAGAAAAAAAUCAAACGGAUAGAAAUAGCUGAGUUACAAGUUUGAUGUUAAUUCAAUAAAUUUUUUAAAAAAAAAACAUAUUAUUUCCAAAAGGGUAAGAAAUAGGUCCAAAUUAUAAUUUAGAAUAUAAAUUAAUUUAAUGUAAAAUUUAAAUAAAAUUGAAAAUUUUUGUUAUUAUCAAAUAAAUUUUCUUAAUAAAAUACUCUUAGUGAAAUUAGAAGUCUUACUUAUAAAUGGUAACUUUUAUUAACAAAAAAAAAUAUUUAUCUUUGUGCUAGAAGAAAACACCGCAUAGAUCAUAAAAAGGAAAAACUAAAACAUCCAAAAAAAAAUAUGUCAAACACUAAACACAAAAUUCAUAGUUAUAGAGGAGGAUUAGAUACAUUGGUCCCAUAAUGAAGAAAUCAUCACUUCUGUUAAUUAAAGAAAGAACAAAUGAAGUUAUGGAUGAACAAAUAUGGGAACAAAAGAAAAAUGAUGGAUCAAAAGGGACGAAUAAAUUAAUCAAUCAAUUUUAUUAGUUUUCGAGUUGAGGCUUAUAUAUAUAAUAUAUAUGUCGAGUUAGAAAUACUACAAAAGGUUGACAUUUUUUAAAAAUAUGAUAAUUUGAAUAGAAGUAACAUGCUAAUGUGGAGUAAUUGUUCUAUAUAAUCCUUUUUAUGAUGAAAUGAUUGCUUACUUUUCUUCAUAACUUCUUACAUUUAGGCAUAAUAAUGAGGUUUUAAUCUUUUAAGGUAACUUUUAUUUUAUUUACUUAAAAAUUUGCAUAAAUUUAAUAAAAAAGAAUAAAAGAAACAUAAAAUUAUACCUAUCAAUUUGUUAUUGCUAAGAUAAAGUGAUUAGAGAGAAGUCAAGUUUCUAAUAACAAGAGGAAUUUCACCUGAAACGUAUAAUUAAAUCGGUCCAAAUUUGUAAAUAUUUUCCUAACAAACCCUUAAUUUAUUUGUUGAGCAUAUUAGUGUCUGUUUCGUUUACCUAUUUUUAAAUAUGCAAGUUUUGUUUAGUCUUAUAGUACUUAUGAUAACCCAAAAAUAUUUUAAUUAUAAUACUCAAAUUAACAAUGUAAGAGCCCAUUUUUGCCCGGGCCCAAUAACAAAUAACCCACAAAAAAAUAAUGCCCACAGUCCAAAAUUAUCUUACGAGCCCAAAAUAUAACAGCCCAAAGCCCAACAAACUAAUUUUUUUUUCAGCAAAAACCCUAACCCUAGCCUCCAAGCGCCGCAACCUUUACUGCCCAUGUGUGCCGCUCCACCUCCUCACGCACACGCCCUGCCACCACCGUCGGUCUGACACCUGCAAAAAGGAGACCCACACGCAACAGUAAAAUAGCCAAGCAACAAGACGCCAAGGAAAAUAGAAAUCAAGGGUUUGUAACGUGGCUAUAAAGGCCAAGAUAAUCUUGUUGUAAUUUUUUUACGCACACCAGUGAAUUGAAACUCAGAAACCAAAUUCUAAAGGUUGAUAUUUUUUUCUUUUGCAAACUGUUCUUUUCGUUUUUCUUUCUGUUAUUCUUUCUAUUUACUUUUUUUUUUAAAAAAUCUAUAAUAAAAAAGGUUAGCAAAUAAGAUAAAAAAAAGAAAAAGGAAAGAAAUACCUGAAUCGGCCCUUGGACCGGCCGGCGUUGGUCCAUUGCCGUCGUCGGAUUCGGGCUCGAGAGGGGGCCAAAGACCUUGUUUUCUCCUUGACUUCCCUUUUCAAAGUUACGGCGCUCUGAAUAUGCCUCAAAAGCACGGAUCGGGGAUUCCGUAGCGCGACGCCGACCAUCGGCCAUGGCGGCGAUUAGGAGCGGUCGAGAAAAGGGGUUGAGGGGAUUUGGGAUCCUCAGUUUUUUUAAAAAGAAAGAAAUGGGGGCUGAUUUCUCUUUUUUAGGGUUUUAUUUUUUUCUAUUUAUAUGAGAUUCUAAACUGUGCCGUUUGAAAGCUUGGAUAGCUGCGCAUUAUUGUCUUAAUGGGUACUUUACGCAAUUAGUCCCUCCAAUUCUGUGGACAUUCGAUGCACUCUUUUAUUUUCCUUAAUUUUGGCCACAUAAUUUGGCGCCUGUUCCAAUCUGGUCCUGCACAAAACGAUACGCAUAAGGGCUGGGGAAUAUUUCUCUAUAAGUCCCUAAUUCUUUGAGCGCGUCCCAAUUCAGUCUCGAACCACCCUCUUUUAUUUAUUUACAGUUUGGACCCCCAGAUUUUGGCUUGAUUUUAAUUUCAUCCUUUAGUUCAUUUAAUUUAUUAUUUUUAAAAAAAAGAAAAGAAAAGGGGAGUUCCUUUAUUAUUUAUUUUAAGUUAUAUAUAUAUGUGUGUAUAUUUUAUUUACCUAAUAUUUUUCUUAUUGUUUGUAUUACUUGAUUUAAGUCAUUAUAUAUACGUACAUGUGUUUUUUAUAAUACAUAUAUACACGUACAUAUUUUUCUAUAAUAUAUAUAUAUACUCAUAUACAUUUCUUACUAUAUCUUAUAAUUUAUAUAUAUAUGUACAUAUUCUUUAUUUAUUUUAAAUAUAUAUUUUUUAUAUUUCAUAUUUUCUACAUGCAUAUAUAUACUUAUAUAUUUACAUAUUUUAAUUCAUAUACCUAUACAUGUAUAUAGAUACUUACAUAUAUUUUUAUAUUUAAUAAUCUCACAAUAUGUAUACGUACAUAGAUUUUUCAUAUUUUCAUAAUUUUGUGUACAUUCAUGUAUAUACGUUUUUUACAUCUAUUCGUUAUUUAUUUAUUUAUUUAUUUACAUUUUCAUUAUUAUUUAGAAAGGAGGAUUCAAUUUUAUUUGCCUAUGUACUCGUCCCUUUUAUUAUCUUAUUUUCGUUGCUAUUGCUCGUGUUGUUUUUAUGCAAUCAUAUUCAUUAUUGUUUUGCUAUGCAUAUUAACACCAUACAUCAAAAAGAAAAUUUUUUCUAAAUAAGGCAAUGUUUUGCGUUUGGAAAAUCGAGAAAACGUGCCCUAACGUGCUGGGUUUCGAUUUCUCGUUCGACCAAAAUAGCCAAAUAUCCUUUUUAAACUUUCAAAAUAAGGCAAUAUUUCGUAUUUAGAAAAUUCGAGAAAAUCGUGCCCUAACUUACUGAGCUUCGAUUUUUCUCGCGUUGAUCCUAAAUAACCGAAUAUCCUUUUAAAAUUGAAAUAAAUGAGGUUUAAACAGAAAAAUAAAAAGGCAAACUUAUUCUCAAAAUACGAGAUGUCGGGUCCUAACUUACUGGAUGUGACAUCUUCUUACUUCGAGAUAAGGAAGCAUUUUCUAUUUUUAUUAAUUCGAGUAAUUUUAAAAUAACACAAUAAAGAGGGAUCGUAUUUUUAAAUUCUUUUCGAGUUUUUAAUCUUCAACACUGAGACAUUAAUUAAUCAACUAGGUACCAAUUUUGGGCGUAUCGAGGGUGCUAAUCCUUCCUCGUGCGUAAUCGACUCCCGAACCUGUUUUUUUCCUGAAUUUCGGAAACCAAAAUUAUUGUUUUAAUAAAUCAAAUCAUUUAUUAAAAUAAUGACUUUUCGAGGUGAUCCGAUCACACCUCAUCAAAAAGGAUUGGUGGCGACUCCUGUUUUCGUUUUCGUUUUCAAAAACCAAGUCGACCACGUUUUAUAAAAAAAUGGUGUCAACAGCUUGGCGACUCCACUGGGGACCAAAUAAGAUAGUCAAGCCACGUGUUGAUUAUUUCUUGUCUUUUUGUCGAAAGUUGAAAAUUCGAUUUAAAUUUACGAUCCUAUCAUUGCAUCUCUUUUGUUUUGAGUUAUAUUUUUCAUCGUGUUCUGUAUUUUAUUUUUAUAUCUCUGCAAAUUGCAUUGCAUGACCGCUGGUCACACCCUUUUAAGUGGGAGUGAGAAACUAGUCCUUCGUGAGGUUUUCACCUCCGUGCAGGAUAGUGGAUUGCUUUCGGGAUACAUCCAUACCUAUGUCUUCGUGAGAUUUUCAUCUCCGUGCAGCCAUAGGGAAAUGUAUUCCCCUGAGCCAAACUCAAUCCGUAUAAGCAUAUAAUGGGUGAGGAUCGAGGAAUCUGCUGGUUCGGGUACCCUUGCUUUAGAACUAAACCACAUAUAGUGAACCUAAGAGCAUACCCUAGGUAGAACCACUUCAAACCCCUACUGGUCACCCGAAUAGACGUUUUAUUUAUUCUUGCUUGCUUUUGCUUUGUACUAACCUGUUUUCUUUUUGGUUAUGAUUGCAUUACAUUUUCGUCAUAAAAAGAGAUGUUGAUUCACGUUCAGUUGCUAAAUAGAGAGCUUGUCAUAAGAAAAUGGGUUUCUUGAUAAAAUGGAUAACAAUACGGUUGUCCUAAUAUGGUCUAAGAAAGUGUGAUAAAAGAAGAAUGAUAGUUUACUGGAGGAGUACACGACCUUGCCUCGUUGCCCGAAGACUCAAACUGACGAAGAUUAUUCGGGAGUUACUAACACAGCUAAUGACGCGAUGACGAAUGACCAAUGGGGUACGACUCGGAUCAAGCAAACAUGGAGGUAGAAGAGGCACCCAUUGGGAGAGUUUACGAGAUUCGAUCUUAGCAUUUGGACAUAAGGAUCGAUGUCUUCACUUCGAGUAUUAGGGCAAUAUAUAUAUCUGCUUUAUGUAAAGAGAUCUGUUUUCUAGUAAAGUUGUUCUAAUAGAUUUGAACCAAAAUCAACGUCUCUUUUUGCAUUCAUAUAUAUGCAUUACAUUUUAUUGCAUGCAUCUUCUCCAUUCAUUAACAUUACAUUUCAUUGCAUACAAUAAUUUUCCUAAAAUCCAAAAGUGCAUUAAGUUUAGAACUCUAGUACAGAACUCUAGAAUUGGAAUUCUUCGGAGAUAUCUAUGGUAAGGAAUGAUGUUCGUGCCUUUGAAGAAGGAACUAAAAAAUUAUCAAGAAUUUGUUUCUACAUCCCUAGAGGCAUUCUAAACAACCGGACUGUGAAGGAGAUUCUUGUAAUUUUUAGGACCAUUUCAGAGAAAUAUUUGGAAUGCUCUUAUUGCACUAAGCCUAUGAGCAAUAGAAAAUCCUUUUGUGAAAAAGGCACACGUCCACUAUUCUUUAUUUCAACGAAAUGCAUCUUUGUGUCUUGUUUUGGCAAACAUUCUUUUGUUCCUUCCAUUUCAUUCACACUCAUACCACACAAAAGCUCUUUGAGUCUUCCUUUAUCCUUAGAACAGGUCUCUAGAUAUCAAUGAUAUGAGCAACACUGCUAUUGACUCAGAAUCUUCUUUUGAGCAAGAUAUGUGUCCAGAGGUACCUCAGGACUUUGAAGAUGACCGAGACUGUGGUUUAUCUCCUGAUUUGUUAAGGAUGGUAGAAUAAGUCAAAACAGAUCCUACCUUACAAAAAAAAUCAGCGGAGAUUGUGGGCUUAAGAGAAAAGAAAGAGGUGAAGAUCGGAGCAUGUAUCACUGCAAAGAGAAAGCGAGAUGUCAUUAAGUUACUCUAAGAAUUUAAAGAUGUUUUCGCAUGAUCAAGAUAUGCAUGAUCUGCUAAGACAUGUGGAUGCUGUUGAGACUAAGAAAUAUUAGAAAAGGUCCAUAAGGGUGCCUGAGGAACACAUGCUAAUAGUUUUGCAAUGGCCAAGAAAAUCAUGAGAUAUGGUUACUACUAGUCCACCAUGGAAGGGGAUUGCAUCAGUUAUGCCAAGUGUCAAAUUUGUGGAGUCAAGAUUUAAGUGCUUUCUUCAUCUCUUCAUGUUAUUACUCUUCCAUGACCUUGUUCUAUGAGGGGCAUGGAUGUCAUCAAAUUGAUCGAGCCGAAAGCUUUCGGUGGUCAUCGAGUCAUUUUUGUGGUCAUCGAUUACUUCACUAAGUGGGUGAAAGUUGCUUCAUAUGCCGGUCUCAAAAUGGACAGUCAGCAAAUUCCUGAAAAAGAAAUCAUAUGUCGGUAUGGAAUGCCAAAAGGCUCAUAUCAGACAAUGCAUUGAAUUUGAACAACGGCACGACAUCAGAAGUUUGCAGUCUAUUCAAGAUUAACACCAUGUCGCCCAAAAUGAACAGUUUAGUGGAGGUAAAAAAAUAGAAAAACAAAAAAAGCAAAAACAAAAAAAUAAAAAAAUGCGAAAACAAAAAAUAAAACAAAAAAACCUCUACCGGGGCACCUCAUUUCUCAUUGGUAUAUGGAAUAGAGGCAGUCUUACCCAUCGAAGGUGAUAUUUCUUCCCUUUCGAGUCUUGUCAGAGUUGAAGUUGGAUGAAGCAGAAUGGAUCCAAGCCCGAUAUGAUCAGUUAAAUUUGAUCGAAGAGUAAAGGUUGAAAGCUAUCCGUCAUGGUCAAAUGUACCAAAAGGGAAUGAUACGAGUUCACCAAAAAAGGUUCGCUCCAGAGAAUUCUAUGAGGGGGACCUGAUAUUGAAGAAGAUCUUUCCCAUACAAAAGGACUUCAGAAGAAAGUGGAUGUCAAACUGGAAAGGACCUUAUGAGGAAGGCCUUAUCUGGAAAAGCGUCGAUAUUGACCAAGAUGGAUGGCAAGAACCUGCCUAAUCUUGAGAAUUCUGAUUCAAGCAAUACAUACUUCACUUGAAAAAGAAACGAAACAAAAAAACAAAACAAAAAAGAAAAAGAAAAAGACAAAGAAAAAGGAGAGGCUAAGGUGAAAACCCGCAAAGGGCGCCUUGAGACCAAAGGGGUUUUGAAUUGAAAACCCAGGAAUGGGCAAUUCAAAUUUUUUGAUCAAAGGUGGGGCAUGCGGUAGUCUUGUCCUCUCUGAAUUAAUAAGAAGGAGAGAUACUACAUCUUAGGGCAUCAACAAAGUCUUUUAGGACUUCUAAACACAUAUCAAGUUCAAAAGGGUCUUCAAUGAGCUCGGGGCAGAGAAGCUCAUGCUACGAUAUAUGGAGCACCUAUUUCCAUUUUAUUCAUUUUUUUUGGUAUUUUUGACAAAAUACGCCAUCUUGAUUAAUUUAUUCUCAUUUUGUAUUCUAGCAAAAUUUGCUAUCUUGAUUAAUUUGUUCAUUUAGAGCUUUGCUCUCAAUAAAUUUCCAUCUUAUCAAUUGUGAUAAUAUUUUUCAUCUUAUUCAUCUCGUAUAUCAGCAAAAUUUGAUAUCUUGAUUGAUUUAUUUGUUUAGAGCUUUGCUCUCAACAAAAUUUCAUUUUGUCCAUUUUGAUAAUCUUUUUCAAGCAUUUUUCAUUGAAAUAACGAUUAUUGGACUGAUAAUAUUCAAGCAGAAGGAGUUCUGCAUAUUACUUUGAAAACUUUUAAAUAGUACGAGGACCUGAAACAGGGUUAUUGUUUAGAACUAACCAACUUAAGGGUUAGAAGCAUUGGAGAAAGAAUAGUCUAAAUUGCGACUAUUUCUUUAGGUUUUCUGUCAAAGAUACCGGCUGAACAAGAAGACAUCAGUGAUAGAACCUUGAUGAACAAUGAGGAAUGACAACCUAAGCAUUAAAAAUGGAUCAUUCUUAUGACAUUCUACAAAUAUCAUACAUACAUAUCUAGUUAGGAGCAUUUGAUUUAUUCUGAUCAUGUCAUCCUAAACACUAGGCAUAAAUAGGUCCAUAAAAUAGAUUUUACCGGUCAUGUUCCCCAGAGAACAGAUCAAAGAAACAGAUCAUAUACCCCUGAAGUUGCAGUGGGAUGGAUUGAAGUUAUUAAAGUAGAUCUUGUCUUCAUGUAUUGGCGUAAAGUAGAUCGAAGAUAGCAGGUCAUGCCUUCCUAUAUUGGUAGGAAGUGGAUCGAAGAUGCAGAUCUUGUCUUCUCGUGUUGGCAGUGAAGUAGAUUGAAGAUAGCAGGUCUUGUCUUCCUAUAUUGGUAGGAAGUGGAUCGAAGAUGCAGAUCUUGUCUUCUCGUGUUGGCAGUGAAGUAGAUUGAAGAUAGCAGGUCUUGUCUUCCUAUAUUGGUAGGAAGUGGAUCAAAGAUGCAGAUCUUGUCUUCCCAUACUGGUGGUGAAGUAGAUCGAAGAAAGCAAAUCUUGUCUUCAUGCAUUGGCGUGAAGUAGAUCGAAAAUGCAGAUCUUGUCUUCCCAUAUUGGUGGCGGAGUAGAUCAAAUAUGCAGAUCUUGUCUUCCCAUACUGGUGGCGAAGUGGAUCGAAGAAAACAGAUCUUAUCUCUCUGAAGUUGCAGUAGAGCAGAUCAUAUCAAACCUUAUCUCUCUGGCGAUGCAGUGAAGCAGAUUAAAACUACAACGGCGAAUCUUGUUUCCCCGACAUUGCAAUUAAAAAGAUUAAAGCCGUAACGGCAAAUCUUACUUCCAUGGCGAUGCAGUGGAGCAGAUUAAAGCUACGACGGUGAAUCUUGCUUCCCCGACAUUGCAAUUUAAAAGAUUGAAGCCGCAACGACGAAUCUUACUUCCUUGGUGGUGCAGCAGAACUGAUUAAAGCUACAACAGCGAAUCUUGCUUCCCCGACAUUGCAGUUAAUCAAACUAAAAAUAACAGAUCUUAUCUCCCUAAGCAGUAGGGAUCAGAUCGCAUCAAGUCUUAUCUCCCUAAGCAGUAGUGGAGCAGAUAAAAAAACCAAUCCUAUCUCCCUGAAGUUACAGUGGAACGGAUUAAAACCACAGAUCUUAUCUCCCUAAGCAGUAGUGGAGUAGAUUGCAUCAAAUCUUAUCUCCCUAAGCAGUAGUGGAGUAGACGAAAAAAACCAAUCCUAUCUCCUUGAAGUUACAGUGGAGCGGAUUAAAACCACAGAUCUUAUCUCCCUAAGCAGUAGUGGAGCAGACGAAAAAAACCAAUCCUAUCUCCCUGAAGUUGCAGUGGAGUGGAUUAAAACCACAGAUCUUAUCUCUCUAAGCAGUAGUGGAGCAGACAGAACCACAGAUCUUAUCUCCCUAAGCAGUAGUGGAGCAGACAGAACCACAGAUCUUAUCUCCCUAAGUAGUAGUGGAGCAGAUCACCUCAAGUCUUAUCUCCCUAAGCAGUAGUGGAGCAGGCAGAAAAAAAAUCCUAUCUCCUUGAAGUUGUAGUGGAGCGGAUUAAAAACACAGAUCUUAUCUCUCUAAAGUUGCAGUAGAGCAGAUCACAUCCAGUCUUAUUUCUCUGAAGUUGCAGUGGAGCAGACUAAAACCACAAAUCUCAUCCCCAUGGAGUUGCAGCAGAGUAGAUUGAAGUCAUAUCUCUCUAAAGAUACCGUGAAAUGGAUCAAAGCAAUAAGACGCAGUGGACUGGAAUGAAGCUAAUUGAAGAAGAGAAACACCAGAACGAGUCGAGAAUCAGCGAGACCGGGCAAUUUUGGUUUUUCUUAAAAGUCUUUGCUUCAUUCCCGUUGCACGACAACGAGCAAAGAGGGCUCAGCUGUAAAGCCCAAAAUCUGCCCGGGCCCAACACAUUCAAAACAGCCCAAUUAUAAAAAAACAAGCCCAGAUUCCUAACCCAAAUCAAAACUAAACCCUAGCCCAACUAAAACUAAAAAUUAUCAGCCAAGGGGAACCCUAGCCUCUGCUGCUCCUCCCUAGGCGCCGCAUGCCUGCCCCUAGCCUCUGCCGCUGCCUGCCACCACCAUAUGCGCCACUCCCGCUCCACCACGCGUCUGACAGCUGUAAGACCAAGGCAGCACGCAAUAACAAAUAAAAAACAAUGUAAAAAACAAAACAGAGAUUAAAGUGUUUGUAAUCGGGUUAUAAAAUCCCUAAGCACUGCUUCUAUUUCUUCUUCUUCGGCUUUUGACAAAAGAUUAAUAAAAAAAGAAACAGAACACCGAUUUUCAAAGGUGAAAUUUCAUUUUUUUCUUUUCUUUUUCUGUUUGAGUUUUUUAUUUUCGCAUAUUAAAUAAGUAAUAAAAGAGAAGGGAAAGGGGAUUACAUGAAUCGGCCUUUAGGCCCGCUGCCGAUGGCGCUUCACCGUCACCGGAUGUGGAUUUAAAGAUAGGCCAAGGCUUUUUUUCCCCUCGGUCCCUUGUUCCGUGGCCUCAACCUCCGAAUACGCUUCAGUGCGCUGAGGGGUGACGUCCUCGCAUGGCUCCGGCCACCGGGCAGUGGAGGCGUGACAGCGGCGGGGUUCCUAGCCUUGGAACCCUAGCAGGAAAGGGGACUUCCAUUGUAAAUUUUUUUUGUGUUCCUUGACAGCAAAUGAAACAACAGAAAAAAAGCAAAAUUUUUUAGUUUUAUAGUAAUUAAAACGGCGCCGUUUGAAGGAAGGAGGGCUGCGCAUUAUUGCCCUAAUGGGUAUUUUACACAAUUAGUCCCUCCAAUUCUUUGGCACAUUCGAUGCAGCCUUUUAUUUCACUUAAUUUCGGCCACAAAAUUUUGCGUCUGUUCUGAUCUAGUCCUUCACAAAAUGACGCGCAUGAAGACUGGGGAAUAUUUCCCAUGUAGUCCCUCGUGUUUUGAGCGCACUUUAUUUCAGUCCCUUGACACCCUGUUUUACUUAUUUGCGAAUUUGGCCCUAAAUUUUUAGCCUGAUUUCAAUUUGAUCCUCGGCCUGUUGAACCUUAUUUUUUAUUUUAUGUAUUUAUUUUAAAAAAAGGGAAAAAAAUCAGUUUUAUUUAAUAUUAUUUACUUAUUUAUUUUCAAUUUUUUGGUCAACUUGCAUUAGUUCAUAUUCAAUUUAUUAUUCUUUUUUAUAUGUAUUAGUUUGUGUAUUUUAUAUAUGUCAUUAUUAUUACUAUCAUUUCAUUAUCUAAUUACUUGCUAAUCUUCAAAUUUUUUUUAAAUGUUGGAUUCCUUGAUAUCAUCUUUAUUGUAGUUUAUUAUUGUUGUUGUUGUUGGGCAUGUCAUACAUAUUGUUAUUAUUAUUACUUGUGUUAUCGUUAGCAUUAUCCUUAUUAUUGUUCGUGUUCGUUAACCUUGUGAUUCAUGGGUGACAAUGUUAUGCAUGUUACAUUUUAUUAUGUACAUUAUGUCAUGGCUAUUUCAAAUGUAUGUCGCACUAUUGUAUUUAGCCACGUAUAACUCCUUUUACGUAUUAAACGACUUCUCUAAAAACCAAUGAAUUAAACGUGUAUUUGUUUUUACAUUUCGCUAUUCUUUUACCCAAAUUCGAAACAAAUUUCAAAAUAAGGCAAUGUUUCGCGUUUUGGAAAUUCGAGAAAUUGUACCCUAACUUACUGGGUCUCAAUAUUCUCGUUAAACCAAAAUAGCAAAAUAUCCUUUUAAAUUUCCAAACACAUAAAAUUUCAAUAAAAAUCAAAGGCAAACUCAGCCUCAAGAGUUCAAAAGUAUUGUAUUCUAACUCACUAGAUGUGACAUUUUGUUAUCUCAAGGUAAGGAUUUCUAAAAACGCAAAGGUAAUAUUCUGCAUGUGGAAUCUUGAGAAAUCGAGCCCUAACUUACUGGGUUCCGAUUUUUUUAUUUGACCCAAGUGACCGAAUAUCCUUUUAAAACUGAAAUUAAUGUUUUAAAUAAAAAAAUAAAAAGCAAGCUUACUCUCAAAAUACGAGGUGCCGUGUCCUAACUUACUGGAUGUGACAUCUUGUUAAUUCGAGAUAAGAAGGCAUUUUUCAUUUUGAUUUAUUCAAGUAAUUUUAAAAUAACACAAUAUAAAGAGGGAUCGUAUUUUUAAAUUAUUUUCGAUUUUUUAAUUUUCGACACCAAGACAUUAAGUAAUCAACUAGGUACCAAUUUUGGGCGUAUCGAGGGUGCUAAUCCUUCCUCGUGCGUAACUGACUCCCGAACCUGUUUCUUUUAGUUUCGCAGACCAAAAGCAUUAUUUUAAUAAAUUAAAUCGUUUAUUAAAAACAACUACUUUUCGAGGUGACUCAAUCACACCUCAUCAAAAAAGAUUGGUGGCGACUCCCAUUUUCAUUUUUUUAAAAUCCAAGUCGACCCCGUUUCAUCAAAAAAAAUGGUGUCAACACCUAUAUUUAUAGGCUUACAUAGAAACUAACUUAACACAAAAAUAGCUAACAACUUAUUUGAUAAAACUAAAAAAUUUGAAACUACCAAGAUUUUCUAAACAUCCCACUAAUCUGUUAUUUUGAAUUAAUUCUCAACAGGAAAUUGAUGUACAAUUAUUUUACUUUGAAUGCAUGAGUCUAUGGUAAGGAAGGGGUCCCAGCAGUAAGUUAAAAUGGUAAGUGUUGAAACAAAAAAUAAAAGUAAUGUAACUGCUGUGGGUCUUAUGGAAUUAGUAUGAUUUAACGAUGAUGGGGUCUCAUGGUGCUUUGGAAUCAUCGUUUUUUUAAGAUGAUUUGAUUUGGUGAAAGGGAGGGGGCUAGAUGUGGGUAUUUGGUUGCAUCUUUAUUGUUGUACAAAAGUCUUGCCAGUUGGAGGAUCAACUAUCCUUUUAAUUUUAGUAAAAAUUAUAUAUGAACUUGUGAACUUGUAUUCAAAUUGAAUCUUUCCAUUGAGUCGCUCUUGCAAGUAGAACAUGGCAGCUGACGAUUCCUCUAUAAUAAAUACUUUUCUUAGAGCAGGAUUCUUUAUAUUCAACCUUUUUUGUUGUGCGAAAAGAACAUGAUUGUCCAAUGAAUUGUGUAAGUCAAGAUGUUUGCGAUUUGCUAAUGCAUGGAUUGAAUACCAGCAAGGAAUCCUUAAACCCUCUCUUCAUCCUUUGAGGUAAUGGAUUAAACUGUGGAGAAUAAUUAUUAAUUAUACCAGUUUUUAUACUUACUUUUACUUAAUUACUGUUCAAGCUAAAUCGAGUUUGCACAUUACGUUUGUUAGACUCAAAUAUGGCUUUUCCUUGCUAAUGUUUUUAGGGAUGGCCCGUUUGAGGUUCAAGUUUAGUCGGAUAGACUCAAAUAUGGUUUAGCUUUGCUAAUCCUUUUAGGGAUGGCAAAAGCAAGGGUGGAGAGAUGCACGUGUUUUGAGGCGUGGUGGUGAUAUUAGCAUCAGUGCUCAUCUGGUUUUCUUCUUAGGCCUGCCAUUUUGGUUUAUUGUUUGGUUCUGUUUUGCCUUGUGUUCCUCUGUUUUGUUCUGUUCCUGUGACGUUGGGCAUUUUUACCGUAGCUUUUAUGGCGAAUACUAAUUAAAAAAUGGCCUAAUUAUCAUGUGUUCCUUCCAAUUAGAUUUUAUAGACGGACCAUGGAGAUUUCAAAAUGUUGUAGGAAUCUAUGUUUUAAAAUUGUUUUCAGCGACCACCAAGUUUUCAAGCUUUUGACAAAUUGGCCAAAGUUGAUGGGAUAGAACCAAUGAAUUUGUUGAUGUAUAGAUACAAGCUGUGAUGUCUAGUGAAGUAAAAGGAUAUUUGUUGGCAUAGCUCUAUUGAAGUUGUUACGAAUAUUUCAACUGACCCAAAAUUUGUAAAAUUUGUAAAAUAUGAGGGUUAAAUAUUUUAAAACUUUGACUAAAUCAAUAUAAGAUGUAAAAGUUGAGGGCUAGAUUUAUAAUUAUACUAAUUUUUUUAACUACCACAUUACCCUCCCAUAGAGAUUUAAAGAAAUGGACAAAAAAAAUUCUCAAUUUAUUGGUUGAUCAAAUUAAAAAAACUGAUAGUUGGGUGAGCAAAUAAGAAAAAGGCGCGAUAGUUGGGUGACUUGAGGUGUAGUUUACCCGAAUAAUAAAAUAUAGUAAGGUAAACUAUAGAGUUAGUCACCCCACUAUUAGUGUGUUUCUGUUUUGGUCACCUAACUAUGAAAAUUUUCAAUUUAAUCACUAUUGCUUUAGAUCAUUUCUAUUUUGGCCACGUUUUAGAUUGUUUUUAUUUUACUCAAUCUUCGUUAAAUGGUUAACCAAAGUUAUGAUGUGACCUUUUUUUUAAAUAGUAUAGAAAACACAUUUAAUCUUCAAUACUUACACAUUCUAUCAAUUUGAUCCUCGAAUGCAUACAAUUAAAUAUAAAUUAUAUAUUAUGAAAACGUACAAAAUCUAAUUAUUUUUAUAUAUUUAUCUAAAUUAUAUUAUAUGUGCUUAUAUUUAAUUACAAUUAUAAGGUUAAAAUAUACAUUUAGCCCCUCGAACUUUGCACCUUCUCCCAUGUUGGUACUUAUGACUUUUUUGUCCCAUGUUGAUACUUAUUUUUUGUUACGAUAUUAAAUAUAGGACACAUGACACUCUUAGGAUGCCAUAAUCUAUUUUUUUUAUAAACAUAUAAUACAAAAUUUAAAAGAAAAUAUAUGAAAUUUAUAUAUAUUUUUUAAAAUAUAAAAUAAAUUACAAAUUAUAAAAAUAUAUGUACCUAAAAAAUUAAAAAUAUUACAAAAAUUAAAAAAAAUUAUAAUUCAAGUUGGAAAAAUCAAAGACCUAGAAAAUUUACACAUUUUUCUAAAUAAAUUGCAAACAAAUUAGAUAAAGAUAAAUUUUGAAAUAAAUUUUAUGUUUUCAAGUUAAUAUGAAUCCGCUUUGGAAGAGGCGAUUGAAUUGAUUAGGAAGAGUGGGAUUAGAAGGAAAAUUUUGGAAUUGUACAUUCGAAUCCGGUUGCUAGUGACUCGAGAAUCUGAAUAUGGUGAUGAUGGAAAAUGAACAUUUUAAAGGGAAGGAAGGAGCGAAUAAACGGCUGGUGGUGGCGAGAGGUGACUCGGUGCUGCCGGAGCGAGUUGUCAACUUGUCUCGAUUUUGUUUUAUAGUUUUAUUUUUUUCCUGCUUUUCUGAAGAGAGGAAACUAGAAUCCCAACUAUCUUCUCAACUAUCAGUUUUUUAAUUUUGCUCAUUCAACCGUUAAUUUUUUUAAUUUAGUUCAAAUUUUUUAAUUUAGUAGUCCAACUAAUCAAGAUUUUUUUUUGUCAAUUUCCGUUAAGUAGCAUUAAAUCUCUAAUGAGAGGACAUGACAGUUAAAAAUUGAUAUAAUAACAAAUUUAACUCUUAAUUUUUACAUUUUCUAUCAAUUAAGUCAUUAUUUUAAAAGAUUAAUCUUCAAGAUUUACAAAUAAUCUCAAUUUGAUCAUCAAAAUUUACCUUUUCUUUCCACUUCCUCCGCUACCACUAUCAUCAUUGCCUCUAGUUCUCCUCCACCUUUCUCCAAAAAAAGAAAAACUUUUUUUUUUCAAUCAUGUUCAAAUUUAAGGUAUUAUAAUUUUUUUAGUUAGAUGAAGCCUAAGCAAUUUAAAUAUAUGUGCUACUAUUUAACAAUAAAUUAGGUUGAAAUAGAAAGAGGAAAGGUAUGUUUUUUUUGGGAGAAAGGUGGAGGUGGAGGUAAUGAUGGUAAUGGCACGUGGUGAAGUAGAAGAGAAAAGUAAAUUUUGAUGAUCAAAUUGAGACUAUUUGUAAAAUUUGAGAGUUAAUAAUUUUAAAAUUUUGACUAAAUCAAUAUAAGAUGUAAAAUUUGAGAGCUAGAUUUAUAAUUAUACUCAUUUUUUAACUACAACAUUACCCUCCAUAGAGAUUUAAAGAAAUGGAAAAAAAUAUCAAUUAGUUGAGUGAUCAAAUUAAAAAAAUUGAUAAUUAAGUAAAUAAAAAAGAAAAAGGGGCAAUACUUUUAUAAAAAUAUUAAAUAUCAUGACACUCUUAGGAUGCCGUAAUCUAUUUUUUAUAAAAAUGUAAUAAAAAAUUUAAAAGAAACAAUAUUAAAUUUAUAUAGUUUUUUAAUGGGCAAAAUACCAAAAAAAGCCCUUUUUUAAAUUUAUCAAAAUGGGCCCGGUAUUUUAUUAUUUACCGGAAUGGACCCUUUUCCCUGAAAACGCGUCCCCGUCAGCGCGAUGUCAGGGGACGUGUCAGCAAAACGCGUCCCUGGGGGCGCGCUUUGCUUACAUGGACACAAAGCGCGCUUACAGGGACGGGCUUUGUUGCCACGUAGGCAAAGUCUGCCCCCAGGGACGCGUUUCGUUGCCACGUAGCGCGCCCCUGGGAAUGCCCGUGAACAGUGCAAUGGUCAUUUUUUUGACCGUUGCCCCCCGAACGGUAAAAAAACACUAUAAAACCCCCACCCUUUCAUUUUUUUCACAAACUAAUUCUCUCUCAAUUAUUUUCUCAAUUUCCUCUCAAUUUGCUCUCAAUUUACACUCAAUUUCCUUCCAAAUUUCUCUUAAAUCCAUAUUUAAUUUUAAUUUGCUCUCAAUUUCCUCUUAAAUUUCUCUUAAAUCCCUAUUUUUAAUUAUUUUUUAAAAAAAAUUUCAUUUUAAAAAAAAAUUUUAAAUCGUAAAAAAUUGUACGAAUUUAGCAAUGGCCAGAGAAUUGAUUCGUCUUGAUAACCAGCACAUAUCCGUCGAACAAAUGAAAAUGGUAAGUUUUAAAUUUAUUUUUUAAAUAUUAUUUAAGAUUUUUUUAUUUAUGCAUUUUUAGAUAAUUAUUAAUUUAUUAUUUGUUAUAAAAAUCUGUAGAUCGGAUAUUGUAAUGCUAUAUCCGGAAUAUGCAUGGUCCUCCAUCACCGUUGGUAGAGAAUUACCUGCGGGAAGUGGGUUUUUGGCACGUGGCGAAGGUAGGCCGGGGAUGCAAGUUGGACCCGAAACUUAUCAGUGCGUCGAUCGAGAGGUGGAGACCCGAGAUGCACACAUUCCAUCUUCCAUGUGGAGAGUGCACUAUCACUUUGGAAGAUGUCAAUCUGCAAUUGGGAUUGCCGGUGGAAGGGUACCCAAUCACCGGGUCAGUUCAAUUUGGCGAUUGGGGAGCGGUGUGCUACGAGCUUUUGGGCGCUAUUUCGGAGAAAAUUAACGGAGGUCGAAUCGAGAUGGGCUGGCUACGAGACACAUUCCUGGAGUCGGAUGAUGAUUCAACCGAAGUAGAAAGAAUUUGAUAUGCUCGGGCAUACAUUCUUCAGAUAAUUGGAGGUUAUCUGAUGCCGAACUUGUCACGGAAUCUCGUACAUCUAAGAUGGCUGUUGAAACUCGUUAAUUUUAGAGCAGCUAGUGAAUUGAGUUGGGGGUCUGCCGUCUUGGCAACAUUAUAUCAGGAGAUGUGCGGGGCGACGCGACUGAGUAAAGCAAAAAUCGGAGGUUGCCUGCCACUACUGCAGUCAUGGGCACAGUUUCGCUUUCCAUUUCUACGUCCUUAAGUGGACCACCCAUAUACAUUCCUACUCAUAACGAGGUAAAUUUUAUAUUAGAUUUUUUACAAAUAUUAUAUAAAUUUUUAAAAAUAAUAGUAUGUUAAAUUUUUUUUAAUUAGGUGGAACCAUCCGACAAGUUAUGCUCGAUUACCUACCACUCUUGAAGAUAUACGGCUUCUAUUAGACCAACAGUCGGAAGCACAUGUCAGUAUUAAAUAAAAUUUAUAUUUCCAUCAUAAGCUAGUCGAUUGGUAUUUAGUAUUUAGUAUUUAGUAUUAUGUAUAUAACAAAUAUUUCUAUCAUGUUCAUAUAGUUUCAAUAGACACCAUACGAGGAUCUGGCAAUUCAGGCAGUAAUUUCGGAUGAGUUCUUCCAAAAUCCAAACGCUUGGCACGAGAAAGUCGGGUUGAUCAGCUAUGCAACCGUGGAGAUGCACCAGUCAGAGAGUGUUACGACAAUUUGGAUGUAGACAACCGAUUCCCGUGGCAUCUGAGGUGUUUGAUGAUCAACACGAAAUUGACCUAUGGCAAUUGCAUACGGAUUGGCCAAGAUUCUGGUCCCACUACAUCCAAAUGUGGGAAGAUUGGUAUGAUUAUAUACCUACUCUGGAACCGACCAUCGUUCCGGAUUUAGCAUGCGUGCCAGAAUACAUGCCAUGGUUUAGGAUCCAUGGCAAGCCGUAUUUACUAUCAGUAGAGGAAAGGCAGUGGCAAUUACGUGUCCAAAGGGAAUGAUUUGGGCCUUUAAAUCCAAGACGAAGGGACGACGACGCAGGCUCAUCAACGAGUCCUAAACAUUCACCCGGCCCAUCAUCAACGGCCAUUAAAUCACCAGGCCCAGUGAGAGCACCGACACAGUCACCUGACCCAGCAGUUCAACCAACGAUACCCACAGCACAGCCUUUUCUAAUGAUGUCAGGUGCGUAUCCUAGCCCUUUUAUGUAUCCUAACCCUUAUAUGUUUCCUUUUUCGAGUCCUAUGGCAGGUUGGAGCCAAUGGCCUGGUUCAUCUCCAUUUUCUGUUAUGCAGAGUGGACCGCCGAUGUAUAGGCCAGCGUCACACGAGGGAUCGCAAGAGGGGCCGUCGGGGAGCUCUUCUUUUUACCAAUCUCCAUCACCGUAUGGGUUUCAAACACCGUCCCCGUUGGUGAUGCAAACACCUCCACAUUCACUAUUCUAUCAAGGUUGCUCAUCGUCCCAACACCGACAACCAGAUGCCCUACCGGAGGAAUCAGAAUCCCCGUCGGAGCAAUCACAACCCCCGCCGGAAGCUGGACGAAGGAGGAAUCCAGCGCGUAACUGUCAACGGCCGCGAUGUGGCACUGAAUCCAACGAGCAUGGAGAUUGAUUUGUAUUUUAAUAUAUAUGUACAAACAUUUUGAAUAUUUUGAUAUUAUUUGAUGCAAUAAAAUAAAAAUUUAUUUGAGUUAUUACUUAAAAACCCUAAACUAAUUUAUUAAAAAUUUAUAAAUUUAUAAUUUAUAAUUAAAUUUAUAAUUAAAUUGACAAACCCUAACAAAAACCCUAACCCUAACCCUAACCCUAAAAACCAUAAACCCUUAACUUAAAAACCCCAACCCUUAAUUUAAAAACCCUAACCUAAUUUAUUAAAAAAUUAUAAAUUAUAAAUUUAUAAUUAAAUUUAUAAUUUAAUUGACAAACCCUAACAAAAACCCUAACCCUAACCCAAACCCUAACAAAACCCCUGCUUGAAGCGUUUUUUAUACUAUUUUCUCAGAAACGUCAACUCGAAAUUAUUUUUUCAGUACCAACUGUAGCAAAAGCGCGUCUACGUGGGCGCAAUUUCAAAAAUUCUUCUGAUAAAGCAUCCUGCUUUGAUUUUAUCUUAAAAACCCAUAAACACGAAACCUAAUAUAAUUUUUAAAAAAUUAUAAUUAAUUUAAUUAAGAAACCCUAAACCCUAAUCCCUUAUUUAUUUAAUUUUUUCUCUAAAACCCUAAAACCCUAAACCCUAACCCUGAAAACCCAAAAGCUAACAUGGGAGAAAUGGCAAAAACGCGUCCCAGGGGCACGCUACGUGGCAGCAAAACACCUCCCUAGGGGCGCGCUUUGUUAAUGUGGCAACAAAGGGAGUCCUCGUAAGCGCGCUUUGUAUCCAUGUAAGUAAAGCGCGCCCCCAGGGACGCGUUUUGCUGACACGUCCCCUGACAUCGCGCUGACGGGGACGCGUUUUCGGGAAAAAGGCCCAUUUCGGUAAAUAAUAAAAUACCGGGUCCAUUUCAAUAAAUGGAAAAAAAGGGCCUUUAAUGGUAUUUUGCCCUUUUUUAAUAUAUAAAAGAAAUUAUAAAUUUUAAAAAUAUAUGUAACUAAAACAUUAAAAAUAUUACAGAAAAUCUAAAAUUCAAGUUGGAAAAAUCGAAAACCUAGAAAAUUUAUAAAUUUUUCUAAAUAAAUUGGAAACAAAUUAGAUGAAGAUAAAUUUUAUACUAAAUUUUAUACUUAGAGAUGGGUGCAAAUUAUUACACGAGUUUUCAAGUUAACAAGAAUGCAAAAGAUGAUGAUUUGAAAAUGGCUUACAAGAAGCUUUUUCAUUUUCGUUUUUCUUUUUUGGUUAAUUAUUUGCUAGGUGAUGGGAAAAAUUGGGUUCCUUUGUUGAAAAUGCUAUAAAAACCACAAAUUUACUAAGUUAUGGGGGUUUUGAGUUUUUGGGUUUAUCAAAAUUACACACACAUAAAUUUAUCAGCAUUUAGUUAUAUAUGUUUAAAUAUAAUCAUUUUUUAUAUUUAAUUAUAUGUGUUUGAGAAUAAAGUUGAUAGAAUCUGAAAAUAUGGAGGGUGAAUUUUAUUGAAUUAUUUAGAAUAAGGAUCAAAUUGAUAGAAUGUGUAAGUAUUAAGAAAUAAACGUGUUAUUAUGCCAGUUGGAAAAGGCAACAUCAUCACUUCCGUUAACUAUUUAAUGGAGAGUGAUCAAAAUAGAAACAAUCUAAAGUGUCAGUAACCAAAAUAGAAAUAAUAUAAAAUGUAAGUGACUAAAUUAAAAAAAAUCAUAGUUGGGUGACUAAUUCUGUAGUUUACCCUAGACGGUAGAAGCAAUUAGGAUUAAUUCCACCAAACAUAUCAAACUAUUACUCAUAUUUUAAAUUGAACCCUAAACUUGUACACAUUCUAAUUAAAUUACUCAAAUAGAAUGUGAUAACAUGUUAUGCUAUUAUUCUUAGAUAGUGCAUAGAACUUAUGCACCAACAAUGCAUCAAAUAUUCUCAUUAAAAGAAAAUGUAUAAAAGAAGUUUUAUACCAUCUAUAAUUUGUAAAAAAGAAAAUUAUCCAGUAAAAAUAUAAAAAUACAUAUCUAUAAAUUCACAAAAAGAGAAUUACAUUAAUCAACCUCACAAAUCUGAUUGAGGUUAAAAAGAAAGAAUGCAUGUAUUGUGCAAUUAAAACCAUGAUCCAUAUUCAAUUCUAAAGUAUUGAACAUAUAAUUUUGCAUUAUUUUACCUCCCUUGAUUUUUCACUUACUCGUUGGAAUAAAUUGACCAAUCUUGGACCAUCUAUUCCUUAUUUCAAUUUUAUUAAAAAGAUAGGUUCCCAUAAAGAUAGUCUUUACAAACCAGUGCACCUAUCAUAAACACAUCAGGGAACAUUGCCAUGAGAGAGGACCUAAGAAAACAUAAUACAUACUACAUAACAUACAAUCAAGCACCCACACAAAAUGUUUAUUAAACAGCUAUAGAAAAAGGCCUGCAUACCACCAAGCAAUGAAGCUUUCUGUUCUAUUUGCAACUUGUUGAACUCGCAGAAGUGUUGCCUUCUCUACCUUUUUGCAAAUAUUUGUUGGACUCGCUCCACAAUCCUAAUCAACCACCAUGGUUUUCCAGUCGUGAAUACAAUGUAUGCCAUGCUCAUUCCCACCACCAACCCCCAUCCAUACCCCAUCAAUAUUGAAAAUUUCCAAUUGAAUUCAUCACCAUCAUCAUCUCUAUCAAAUUUGGCUGGAGUUUCCUCAUCAGUACCACAGUUUUUUGAUAAUGGCAAACCACAUAAAUCCAAAUUUCCCAUGUAGGAAUCAUUAGUGAAAGUAUCAAAUUGUUUUCCUUGAGGAAUAGGUCCCUUGAGAUUAUUUUGAGAAAGGUUUAACACCUCUAAGAAUCCAAGAUUUUUUAACUCUGUUGGAAUUCUUCCUUCCAGCUUAUUUGAUGAGAGAUCUAAUGAUUCAAGCUCUGACAAAUUACCUAAAGAUGAUGGGAUAGGACCUAUUAAACAGUUAUGGGAGAGAUUUAGGACAAUAAGUAAACGAAGCUCACCAAGUAUUUUUGGAAUUUCUCCCCUGAAUUGGUUACUACAAAGGUCAAUAACCAUCCAAAUGGAUAAUAGUGAUUCACCCUUUAUUUCCAGCCCUUUUGCUGUAACAGAUAAACCAUAAGCAUAAUUCACCCAACCAAGUGCAUCUUUCGUGAUCUUUAGUUCUCUCAUGUAAUUUGGUUCAACUUUCUUUCC